rnacentral:rRNA from 1 species
AGUAACACGUCGAUAAUCUGCCCUUAGGUCCUGGAUAACCUUGGGAAACUGAGGCUAAUAUGGGAUAUGAGAAUUCUACUGGAAUGUGUUUUCUCUGAAAGAUUACGCCUAAGGAUGAGUCGGCGGCGGAUUAGAUUGUUGGUGGUGUAACGGACCACCAAGUCCAAGAUCCGUAGGGGCCUUGAGAGAGGUAGCCCCAAGAGGAACACUGAGAUACUGGUUCCAGCCCUACGGGGUGCAGCAGGCGCGAAACCUCUACAAUGCACGAAAGUGUGAUAGGGGAAUCCCGAGUGCUCAUGCAUUGCAUGGGCUUUUGCCAAGAGUAAAAACCUUGGCGAAUAAGUGGUGGGAAAGACCGGUGCCAGCAGCCGCGGUAACACCGGCGCCACAAGUGGUGAUCAUGUUUAUUGGGCUUAAAGCGUCCGUAGCUGGACUGAUAAAUUCUUUGUGAAAUUGUUGCGCUUAACGUAACAGAUUGCAGAGAACACUGUCAGUCUUGGGACCGGGAGGAGUUAGGAGUAUUCUUGGGGGAGCGGUAAAAUGCUAUAAUCCCAAGAGGACUACCUGUGGCGAAGGCGCCUAACCAGAACGGCUCCGACAGUGAGGGACGAAAGCUAGGGGAGCGAUCCGGAUUAGAUACCCGAGUAGUCCUAGCUGUAAACGCUGCGAGCAAGGUGUUGCAUAACCUACAGGGUUAUGCAGUGUCGAAGAGAAAUCGUUUAGCUCGCCGCCUGGGAAGUACGGUCGCAAGGCUGAAACUUAAAGGAAUUGGCGGGGGAGCACAACAAGGGGUGCGGCGUGCGGUUUAAUCUAACUCAACGCAGAAAAUCUCACCAGAGGCGACGGCAGAAUGAAAGUCAGGUUGAAGGCCUUACUCAACGAGCCGAGAGGUGGUGCAUGGCGGUCGUCAGCUCGUGCCGUGAGGUGUCCUGUUAAGUCAGGCAACGAGCAAGACCUGUACCUACAAUUGCCAGCAACUCUUUUUAGAGGAUUGGGCACAGUGUAGCACUGCCUGGGAAACCAGGAGGAAGGUGCAGGCAACGGUACGUCUGUAUGCCCCGAAUCCUCUGGGCUACACGCGCGCAACAAUGGUAGGAACAAUGGGAUGCAACUCCGAAAGGAGAAGCUAACCCUCUAAAUCCUAUCCUAGUCUAGAUUGAGGUUUGUAACCCAACCUCAUGACAACGGAAUCCCUAGUAAUCGGGUUUCAUUACGGCCCGGUGAAUAUGUCCCUGCUCCUUGCACACACCGCCCGUCAAACCACCCGAGCAGGGUUUAGAUAAGGGCCAGCUUUUUUGGUUUGUUCGAAUCUAAUCUCAGUGAGGUGGGUUAAGUCGUCACAAGGUA